CCAAUGGAUCAUACAAAUGUCUCUAUGAUGGCUAAGGCAUCUUUUACCAAAUGCCUACAUGAGUCACUGACGCUCCUGAAUACCCCAGCUGUUUAAAAAAAAUGUGUUAAGUUCCCUUUGCAUUAAACACAAAAUCAUUAUAAAUAAAUAUGUGAUGCCAAUCUAAUAAUAACAUAGUGGAUGCUCAAUUUGGUGGUGCAUCGUAUGACUUGUACAUGUGGAACCAGUGCAAUAAAACCACUUGAGGAAAACCUGCCCAAUAGAGACUGCUGUUGGUUGUUAGGUGACCAAUGUUUGCAUGAUGACCCCCAUCUUGGGAGCUGCUCCUAGAUCCCAUUAAGAUAUGCACAACAUUGCUGUGUCAGAAAUACGUUGGAGCCUUGUAGUUGGGUGCAUAUUGUAAAAUGUUUCCUCACUCCAAAACCAUGAACUCUGGUUUCCUAAACCCUCAAGCUAUGCAGCCGAAGGAGGAGACUUAUCACAGGUCAGUAUAUUAUAUACCUACUUUAUAAGAACUUGUUAGGCAG
rnacentral:lncRNA from 1 species